rnacentral:misc_RNA from 1 species
GAAAAAUUAACCUCAAUUAUUAUUAUUCCACUCUUGUCCAAACAUAGCCUGAAUGAGCAGAAGCGUCCAUUUGUCUCGUUCUCUGACUUUUGAGUAAUGGAUCACUUCAUUUUAAGCUUGCUUUGAUCGUCUUUUGCCUGUCUCCUUCUGAAUCAUUGAAUAUGAAUCAGAUUCUAAAUUCUAGUUCUAAAUUUUGGCCCAAAUUCCCUGUGCCACUGAGGUCCUGUCUCCUUCUGAAGACGUAGAAUUUGAAUCCGAUGCUAAAAUGUGGUCGAAAUUCCCUUCGCCACUGAGGUGGAUGCAAAAUUGGAACCCUAACCCUAAACCCACUACCUUACAAUCUUUUCUUAAUUUUUUAAUUCUCUAUUUUUAUGUUGCUUUUUGGUAAAAAGAAAUUAUAAAUUGACCUCAAUGAACCAGAAAAGUUGCUGAAAAGACGAUAAAAAAUGAGUUGUAUGGGUAGCUCACAGUAUCUUCUUCAAUGGCACAUGCGAUUGGACAAUGGAGCCCAUAAAAGGGAUUCUUACCCAUUAACAGUCAUAUUUCUCGUUAUUGUAUAUGAAUAAACAGUUGCUGUUAUGGCAUCCUCCGGUACUGCCAGAGUUGAACAUUUCCAGCUCGUGGAUGGGAUGCAACUUCAGAUAAAUGUUUCAGGCUCUUUGAAUGGACCCAAUGUCAGAAUUGAACUUCGGCUUAAGAACUGUACAAGGGCCUGGAUUCUUCACUGGGGUUUUGUUAAUCAUGGAAACCCGAAUUGGUUUAUCCCUUCUGAGCAAUCUCCAGGAUCAAAAUCUUAUAAGCAAGGGGCAUUACAGACACCAUUUACGAAGAGUGGAGAAUUUUAUGUAGUCAAUAUGGAGUUGAGAGGCCCUAAAUUCCAUGCUAUAGAAUUUGUUUUGAAAGAUAGCUGCUGCAACAGAUGGUUGAAAUUGAACAAUGGGAAUUUCAGAGUUGAUCUGCCUGAACAUGAUGAAAGUACUAUUCACCCCUCUCUAUCGAAGGACUUGAUAGAACGCAAGGCAUAUCAAAUCUGGGAAAGCAAGGGCAGGCCAACGAGCACUCCACAUCAACAAAAGCGAGAUUAUGAUGAUGCUGUAAGAGAACUCCAAAGUCAGCUGGCCAAAGGGAUUUCUUUGAAUGAGUUACAAAGUAGUUGUAUGUCUACAAGUACCAAAACACUAACUGAUAAUAGGGGACAAUCUAGGUGUGCAUUACCACCUUCAUACCGUAGAAGACAUGAUGUGGAUCAGUGGUUGCAUAAGCAUUCUGUGGGCCAUGCCAAGAGCACCAAUAUGCCAUUUUCAGCUUUAAUGGAUCUUGUAGAGAGAACUAAUGGAGGAGAUAAAGUUAUAUCGAGGCAGAGUUAUCAUGUUGGUAACUAUGAGAUAGUGGUCCUUACAAAAAUCGUUAAGAGUGAUCUUCAUGUACUGGUAGCCACAAACACAAAGGGUGCUGUAGUUCUUCAUUGGGGUUUCUCAAAGUUGUCCAUUGUGGAAUGGUUGUUGAGGUUCAUGCUUCCUAAUUUUUAAGAUCUAUAUCAUGAAAACUGAAUGGCCUUGAAAACAUAUUCGCCAAAUCCUCAUUUCACCUCAUAGUCAGUUUUCCUCACUGUUUCUAGGCCCCUCCAUCAGACAUGUUGCCUGAAAAAUCAAGACUUCUUAAUGGUGCAUGCCAAACUUAUUUCGCGGAAAUAUUAACUGGAAAAGGAUCCUUUCAGCUUGUAGAUAUCAAUCUGCAGCAAAGAAAUUUCUUUGGUAUCCAAUUCAUGAUCUGGACAGGUGGAUCUUGGAUAAAAAAUAAUGGGGCAAAUUUCUCUGUUUUGCUGAAGUCAAUCAAUCCUAAUGGAAAGGUACUGCUCAUUCUUUGAUCUUGGUUUAACAUGCCUUGCUAAUAUACUCAUAAGCAUCCUCAUGGCAUAGUUGCAUCUCAUGGUGAUAAACUUUAUUAUGGAUGAUCUAUCAAAUAGGAAAACUUUCCUUGACACAGCGGGGUAUGAGAUUGAGGAAAUAGUUAACUACUGAAGAGAUUAUUCCUUUUGGCUGAUGUCAGCAAUAACAUUUGAUCUCAACUAAUUUACUAAAAAUAUUGAAUCAAUAAUGUAGAAUGUUGUUACACCUAAAAAUAUGUGCAACUAUUUCCUUCAACAUUUUAGUUGUGACAGAGGCCAGCUUAAUCCCCAAUGUUAACUCCCUUCUAUUGUUAAUAGGCCUUAUAAUAGGUUAAAUUCUCAUUCUCAAAAGUGCAUCAAGGCAUUUGUUCUGUUGAUGUAUAUUAUGUGCAGGUUGAUGGGGAUGGGAAAGAAAUUGUCAAAUGGUUACUUGAUGAAAUAUAUCGAAGAGAAAAAGAGGCGGAAAGGUCAUUGAUGCACAGCUUAUUCACUUUGGGCACAGGUUCAACAUUGCAACAGAAUUGACAGAACGUUGUAAAUUUGAAGGGGAAUCAGGCCUUAUUGGCAUUUUGGUCUGGUUGAGGUUUAUGGCCUGCAGGCAUCUUACAUGGAACAAGAACUACAAUGUGAAACCUCGUGAAAUUAGUGAAGCUCAGGAUAAGUUCACCAAUUUACUACAAAAAAUAUAUGUGAACCAGCCGAAUGAUAGAGAAAUUGUGAGAUUGAUUAUGUUAUGUGUUGGACGUGGAGGUCAAGGAGAUGUUGGGCAGAGAAUUCGUGAUGAAAUUCUUGUGCUUCAGAGAAACAAUGAAAGCAAGACUGGCAUGAUGGAGGAGUGGCACCAAAAGUUGCACAAUAACAGUAGCCUAGAUGAUGUGAUAAUUUGUGAGGCACUCUUAAAUUAUGUCAGAUGUGUUUAUUGGCAAACUUUAAAUGCAAAUGGUCUGACAAAAGAGAAGCUUGCAAGUUAUGAUCGUCCAAUUGUGUCAGAGCCUCAUUUUAACACCCAUGCUAAGGAAGGUCUCAUUCGUGACCUUACAAUGUACUUGAAGACAUUAAAGGCUGUUCACUCAGGUGCUGACCUUGAAUCUGCGAUUGAAACUUGUUUGGGUCCUUCUUGCAAGAGUGAUUUCACGAAUGUAGAGAGAGUUUAUUCUCUAGAUGGUUUGUCACAAAAGUUGCGGGAAUCGUUGAACUUUAUCAGAGCAAAUGUGGCUGAUGCAAAUGUUGCUUCGCUUAUGGAGAAGUUACUGGAAUCUCGCAUCGAGCUUCACCCUGUUUUGCUCACAUCUACCGGAAGAGCAAAAGAUUUACUCUUCCUCGAUCUUGCUUUGGAUUCUGCAGUUAGAACAACAAUGGAAAGAGGACUGAAAGACAUCAGCUUCGAUCACCUGCCAGAUAUUAUGUGCUACAUUUCCUUUGUGCUUGAAAAUUUAUGCCUAUCAAUCGUCAACAAUGAAGACCUGAUUUAUUGCACAAAGGGUUGGUAUCAUGUCUGUGAAUCAUACAAAUCCAAUGAUGUUCAGUGGGCAUUACAAGCAAAAUCUAUUCUUGAUCGGGUGCAGCUAAUACUUGCUGAUAGGUCUCAGAACUACCAGAAAAAAAUUCAGCCCAGUGUGCAGUAUCUUGGUAAUUUGCUUGGUAUUAAGAAAUGGGUGAUUGAUAUUUUUACAGAGGAGUUGAUUAGGGCAGGCUCAGCAGCUAUCCUGUCCACACUUAUCAAUCGUUUUGAUCCCAUUCUUAGAAAAAUUGCAAAUCUAGGCUGUUGGCAAGUUAUCAGUCCAGUGGAAGUGUGUGGUUUUGUAACCUCUGUUCAUGAGUUAAUUACCAUUCAAAACAAGGUUUACGGAAAACCAACUGUUAUUAUUGCAAAUAGAGUAACUGGGGAGGAGGAGAUUCCUGAUGGAGUUGUUGCUGUGCUAACACCUAAUAUGCCAGAUAUUUUGUCCCAUGUCUCUAUUAGAGCAAGAAAUAGCAAGGUAUGCUUUGCCACAUGUUUUGAUCAGAAUAUUCUUAGGAAUCUCAAGCUAAAGGAAGGAAAAGCUAUAUCAAUAAGCAUGAAAUCAAUGAAUUUGAUUAUCAGUGAUGUCGAUGGCUCAAAUUUAUCACUUAAUUCCUCUAUUUCUACUUCCAUUCCACGAGCAGUUACACUUAAAAGGAAGCUGUUUUGUGGGAAAUAUGCUAUUUCACUUGAGGAGUUCACUGCUGAGAUGGUCGGUGCAAAAUCUUGCAACAUCAAAUUUUUAAGAGAAAGGGUGCCAUCAUGGAUUAAGAUUCCAAUUUCAGUUGCCCUAACAUUUGGAGCCUUUGAAACUAUUCUUUUAGAAGAUAUUAACAAGGUACUGCUGAUAUUUCAGAGGAGACUUUUGCCAUUCCUUGUGAUCCAUUAAGCAUUAUACACAAGUAAUUAUGAUUAUGCAUGUCAUGUGUGAAUGAAUCAUUCAUA